ensembl:lncRNA
AGCUCCGCCGCGUCGCGUCCGGCCGGGCGGCAGCCGAGAGCCGGCGGCGCGGCCCGACGGCGGCUCCUGGCUCCUGCCCAGCGCGAGACGCACCGAUCUCCGCACGCGGGACAAAGAUCUCCCGAGCUCCCGGGGCUCGCGCUUUCCUUUCGUUUUUGUUUCUCUGCUGAUACUGUUAAAAUUUAAAUCUAAGGAAAUAAAAAUCUGGAAAGGAUUCCGCGCGGGGUUCUUAAUGUGACCCGUGCUGUGCUGUGACCCCGCUGAAGGAACAGAGUUUAUUUUGUAAUGCUCCCCAAAUGUUGAUAUUUAAUAAGCAGGACAAGUGUUAACCUGAAUUACUUAAUGCGUCUUUUUCUGGGUCUUAAGAUAAAGCCUCUUUCUACGCGUGCAGAAACAGCUCUGAGUGAAAUUCGUGAUUUAGUAAAAUAUUUUGGGAAGGAUUUUAAGUGAUAGAGCCUAUUUUAUUUUUGUUUGGGACAUUAUAAAUCUGAAAACCUUUGUAGCUAAUGCUGAAAAAAUAAUAUACGAUUAUUCAAUUCUGAGAUCAAGAUAAAAGCUGCUUAAAUUUCAGACUUCAAUCAGCGGAGAGAAAAGCAUCUCAUGUACAUUAAUUUUCUGUGUUACCUCCUUAUUUUCGUGUAAGGAUUCCGUUUCUCCACCACAUCGGGCUUCCCACAAUCUGUCUCCUACGACUACGAGGACAAUCGCAGCCCUUCUUUCCUCUCCGCAAUAGUUUUUGUAAAUUCUCAUUAAAAAACAAAACAACAACAACAAAAAACAAUCAAAAAGGAUCAACCGAACAAAAAAGAAAAAAAAAAACCCAAACGAAAAUAGCGAAGCGAUCGUGCGGCGGGGCCGGGAGGAGCGGAGCGGGAACCCAACAUCCUCGCACCCCGGGAUCCAUUUCAUCUUUGUUCUCGGGCUUUUACUCACAAAUAUCGCCCUAAAGAUGGGUUCCGUCGCGCCGGGUGCUCCCAUCCCCGCCCGCUGCCCCGAGAACCAUUCGAUGAGGUGUUACCUUCGGUUUCCAAAAUGCUUUUAACGAAAAAAACAAAAUACAAUUAAGACACCCACGCGCAAAACCAUCACAGAAAUUAAACCAAGUCGAGCCCCGCAGCCCCACCUCCCGCGGCUUGUUUCUAAUUCGGCAUUUAUUUGCAAGACAAAUCUUUUUGUUUUGAGGUGUUUUGUUUUAAUUUGGAGAUCGCAGCGGCCAAACACCGCUCCCUGUUUCCCGAACGAAGCGGCGGAGCGGAGAGAAGCGGC